AUUGAACGCUGGCGGCAGGCCUAACACAUGCAAGUCGAACGGUAACAGGAAACAGCUUGCUGUUUCGCUGACGAGUGGCGGACGGGUGAGUAAUGUCUGGGAAACUGCCUGAUGGAGGGGGAUAACUACUGGAAACGGUAGCUAAUACCGCAUAACGUCGCAAGCCCAAAGAGGGGGACCUUCGGGCCUCUUGCCAUCAGAUGUGCCCAGAUGGGAUUAGCUAGUAGGUGGGGUAACGGCUCACCUAGGCGACGAUCCCUAGCUGGUCUGAGAGGAUGACCAGCCACACUGGAACUGAGACACGGUCCAGACUCCUACGGGAGGCAGCAGUGGGGAAUAUUGCACAAUGGGCGCAAGCCUGAUGCAGCCAUGCCGCGUGUAUGAAGAAGGCCUUCGGGUUGUAAAGUACUUUCAGCGGGGAGGAAGGGAGUAAAGUUAAUACCUUUGCUCAUUGACGUUACCCGCAGAAGAAGCACCGGCUAACUCCGUG
rnacentral:rRNA from 1 species